GUUUAAUUAGUUUAAAUUAAAAUUAUAAAUUGUGGAUUUAUAGAUGAACGAUCAUUAAACA
rnacentral:tRNA from 1 species